rnacentral:rRNA from 1 species
UUGCGUAGGUGGUUUGUUAAGUGAAUGGUGAAAUCUGGUGGCUCAACCACACAGAUUAUUAUUCAAACUGGCAAACUCGAGAGUAGCAGAGGUAACUGGAAUUUCUAGUGUAGGAGUAAAAUCCGUAGAUAUUAGAAGGAACACCAAUGGCGUAGGCAGGUUACUGGGCUAUUUCUGACACUGAAGCACGAAAGCGUGGGGAGCGAACC